AGCGAACGCUGGCGGCAGGCCUAACACAUGCAAGUCGAACGAUCCUUCGGGAUAGUGGCGGACGGGUGAGUAACACGUGGGAACGUGCCCUUUGGUUCGGAAUAACUCAGGGAAACUUGAGCUAAUACCGGAUGUGCCCUUCGGGGGAAAGAUUUAUCGCCAUUGGAGCGGCCCGCGUUGGAUUAGGUAGUUGGUGGGGUAAAGGCCCACCAAGGCUACGAUCCAUAGCUGGUCUGAGAGGAUGAUCAGCCACACUGGGACUGGGACACGGCCCAGACUGCUACGGGAGGCAGCAGUGGGGAAUCUUGCGCAAUGGGCGAAAGCCUGACGCAGCCAUGCCGCGUGAAUGAUGAAGGUCUUAGGAUUGUAAAAUUCUUUCACCGGGGACGAUAAUGACGGUACCCGGAGAAGAAGCCCCGGCUAACUUCGUGCCAGCCGCCGCCGUAAGAC
rnacentral:rRNA from 1 species